AAGUAAAAGUUACUUAUAAAUUAAUAACUUAUUAAAAUAUUUAAAUAACAUAUACGUAUCUCAUAUAAUCUCGUCCGUUUGACAUUAUAAUUAUUUGCAAUUAUUAUUACACCUCGAACAAUAAAUUAUUGAAAUAACUUAUAGAAGCAAUUUUAUUCGUAAUUUCAACUACUAAAUUUUGCAUGGCAUUGUAUCAAGUUCCGGGAUGGGAUAUAGAAAAAAAGAAUUCGAAAAAGAAUCCUGAAAAUACGUUACAAUAUUCUCAUCGAAACCGAUAUUAUCACGACGAGAGCCGUAACAAUUUCCAUAAAACGAAAUUCGUCUCGUCAAAUUUCAAAUCGUAGAAGCGGAAUUUUUCAUUCGCGGAUUGUUUACGAAAUUCACCGCGAACAAUGCACCCCGCUGUUUGCCAGAAUUUUUUCAACCAUGCCGCCUCCUCAUUCGAACAGAGACCAGGUAAGAAAAAGAAAAUCGAAGAA